rnacentral:misc_RNA from 1 species
GAAAUGCGAUAAGUAAUGUGAAUUGCAGAAUUCCGUGAAUCAUCGAAUCUUUGAACGCACAUUGCGCCCUCUGACAUUCCGGGGGGCAUGCCUGUCCGAGCGUCAUUACGCACCCUCAAGCCCGGCUUGUGUGAUGGGCCCCGGCGUCUCGUUCGCGAGACGGGCCCGAAAGGCAGCGGCGGCGUCGACCCGAUGAGCCCGAGCGUAUGGGGACUUCUGUCACACGUUCGCGGUGCGGACCGGCGCCUGCUUGACUUUUCUGAUUAUCCAGGUUGACCUCGGAUCAGGUAGGGAUACCCGCUGAACUUAAGC